AUUAUGAUUACUUUAGCUAUGGAACUAAUUACCUAAGGUCCCUAUUUGAUAAUACUAGAACUAUGGACCGGUUUAACGAUAAUUCCAAAGUAAUAGUAGUUGAAGG
rnacentral:pre_miRNA from 1 species